GGGCCCGUCACAUGUGGGAGAAAGAUGGCACAGGGCAUGGUCUCCUGGAGCUCCAUCAGGGCAGCGGUCCCCUUGGUGCCAGGAAGCCCAAGCCUCGGAAACUGUGGCCCAUCCACAGGGCCUGCUGUCGGGAAUAAGCUCUGAGUGAGGAGGAACUUGGCCGAACAGGACAGGGAGGCUCACCCAGGGCCAACAGGGAGGUGACCUCAUCUGAUUCCUUCAAGAUUGUAACACUCAGCAUCUGGCUAAAUGCUUGAGGACCCAGCAGACAGAAACCAGCCUUUCUCAGGCUCAGAGCUCCAGCAUUGGCUGAGUGCCAGGCCAAGGGGUCCACUUACUGCGUGUUUGGCCAGGACGCACUGUGGGUAAGAAUGGGGGCCACGCUGUCUGUGGGUUGAGACCUGAGACACAUCUCUGGGCACCUGGGAUACAGAGCUCAAUUUGGAUGGGGUGCUAGAGGUAGCCUCAUCCAGAUACAAAUUACACCUCUCC